GGCAACGCGAAGAGAGGAGCGGCGACAUGGCGGCUUCGGGAGCUGGUGACCCUCUGGAUGCUAAGCGUGGAGAGGCCCCGUUCGCUCAGCGUAUCGACCCGACGCGGGAGAAGCUGACACCCGAGCAACUGUAUUCCAUGCGGCGGGCGCAGCUUGCCCAGUGGCAGAAGGUCCUACCGCAGCGGCGGACCCGGAACAUCGUGACCGGCCUAGGCAUCGGGGCCCUGGUGUUAGCUAUUUAUGGUUACACCUUCUACUCGAUUUCCCAGGAGCGUUUCCUAGAUGCGCUAGAAGACGAGGCCAAAGCUGCCCGAACCCGAGCUCUGGCAAGGGCAUCAGGAUCCUAGUCUGGAUGGGUAUUGAUCAUGUCCAACCUGCUGGAGCCCCUUCACAUGGUGGAUGAUGCCCCAUGACCCUGUACAAAUUGAAUCCUGCUCACAACAUUGUUGGCCUUCUUACUAACCUUGGGCCAUGAUUGAUCCCAAGAAACCAGGGACUUAAGCAUUUGGCUACUGUCAAAAGAACAGAACUUUGCCCACUGC